AUUCUUGCGCUGACUUUAGCAUGCCACACAUGGCAAAAACAGACUCAGAACCUAAACUCUGCAGUUUGAAAAAGACCUGACACUGCUUUACUUCUUAACUUCUUAACCUACGAGAUCUAGAGGGUGCCACAUCAAGACUUGCUUCAAAAAACAAAACAAAAAAACAACUGUCUGGAAACAAGUUUAUUUUUGCCAUUGUUGCCUAAAAUAGCUAUAUAAGUAUUCCGUGGAUGUGAUUCAUAGGUCAAAAAAAUCCCUCUGAGUUCAACUCUGAGUAGCAAGUACUUGUGCUUUUUUUGAUUUUGGGCCCAGAAAUGAAGAUCACUUGUAUUAUACUGUCUUAAGAAGACAAUGCACAACA